AAAAAUUGAAUGUCUGGCUCUUUUCUUUGAGGAAGGGGGCGUGGCCAGAGACAGGGAGGGAGGAGCCAGCUACGGGCAGGGGUGUGGCUUAAACAAAAGGGGUGGAGCCAUCAGAAAGCGCGCUGGGGGGCAACUUUUCUUUUUUUUAACACGGUUAAAAGACUAUACUCUUUUGCAGACCCGGUUGGAUGCCAACCUAUCGGCCCUCCAGAACGAGAUGUUCACCCUCCAGGCUGAAGGAAUGGAUGUGAACAGUCAGAAUGGGGCCCUCCUAGGCAGAGCUACCUGGCUGAGAUCGCCUCCCUCCAGCGCCGCCUCCAGGGCCGGUCCUCGCCCUCGUCCUCGUCCCGCCGCAGGUGCCCCCCCUUCCGGUACUUAUUCUGGGGGCUGGUGACCCUUUGCGCUCUGUUCCCCCUUGAAGGGCUGAGCUUUCUCCUCUAGUCUAGAGGACCUAAACGGUGCCUUUGACGGGCAGGAGAUGAGGAAACGGUGUUUUUCUUCACCCAUUGUCUUCAAGGAUGAGGAGACCCACUCCAGAUCUGCUGGGAUAUUACACUUUCAAGAAAGAACCAAGAGGGAGAAAAAUUCAGGGUGCUCCUAACCAUCAAAACAAGACAAUUUUAAAAAAAUGUGUUGGAAUGUAACUUUCCAAUGAAUUAAAAUUUAUGAAUUUUUUUCCUGUCAAGUUGGAUGUUUUUUUUAAAAAAAAUUCAAUCUCAGGGUUGCAAAGAAGGAACACCGCCAUUUAAUAUAUAUAUAUGUUAUCAUUUUUACGGCUUUUUUCCCCUCCUUGAAUCAGCUCCACUUGUCCAGGGCUCUUCUGCCUGAUUCGCCCUCUGAACAGCCCUAUGAGGUAGGCCGGUCUGAGACGGAGUGUAACAGAUCCCCAGACUCACCUAGGGAUAUGUCAUGGC
rnacentral:lncRNA from 1 species